ACCGCACGUUCUUUAUUCGGGCAGUAAUGGGUCGGUUCGUUGGAAGUCGCCAUUUUGGAGGAGUACAGACGAUUUAGUUACGACCUCUCCUCAGCGAUCGUAGGGCUGAUGCGUAAGGGGAAUUCGAAGUACCCAUGGGGGCUAGAUGCUGUUCUGGUGUUGUCACGUUGCAUACAAGGAAAGGAGAUUGCAAAACUUCCUGAAGGGGAACGAAAAAGAAUGAAUGUGUUCUCUGGUACGCAGUUAUAAAAGUGGCCAUCAGGCUGUUAACAUGCUGCUGAAAUUGCUGCCUACAAAGGUUAGCAGCUGAGGUCUAGGCAACGUCUGGGAUUGACUUGAUGUAGGGACCAUCUGCUGCUGCUUCUUAAAUUACCAUAAAAGCAAUGGUAUAACUUCAUUGGUGUCACGCAUGUCAAAGAACUAGGAAAAGAGCUGUGUAUGUCACUGAUCUUCCAACUUCAGAAUUGCAGAAGAUUGUGCGUGCUGCAGAAUUUGAAAGGAACUACAACAGCAGAAAACAUUCCUGAAGUGAAGUUAAUUUGGUGUCAGGAAAUCAGCUGAAGUCUUCCUGUGUGUACUUCAAUCAGCCUCGAGACUUGAGAGAUCUGUCUGGGAAUUAGCAGUGCAAUAAAUCUAAAACUUUGGAAUUAA